rnacentral:rRNA from 1 species
GACGAACGCUGGCGGCGUGCUUAACACAUGCAAGUCGAGCGGAAAGGCCACUUCGGUGGUACUCGAGCGGCGAACGGGUGAGUAACACGUGAGUAAUCUGCCCCUGGCUUUGGGAUAGCCACCGGAAACGGUGAUUAAUACCGGAUAUGACCACGUCUCGCAUGGGGUGUGGUGGAAAGUUUUUCGGCCAGGGAUGUGCUCGCGGCCCAUCAGCUUGAUGGUGAGGUAAUGGCUCACCAUGGCUUCGACGGGUAGCCGGCCUGAGAGGGUGACCGGUCACACUGGGACUGAGACGCGGCCCAGACUCCUACGGGAGGCAGCAGUGGGGAAUAUUGGACAAUGGGCGGAAGCCUGAUCCAGCAACGCCGCGUGAGGGAUGACGGCCUUCGGGUUGUAAACCUCUUUCAGUACCGACGAAGCGCAAGUGACGGUAGGCACAGAAGAAGCACCGGCCAACUACGUGCCAGCAGCCGCGGUAACAC